rnacentral:rRNA from 1 species
GACGAACGCUGGCGGCGUGCUUAACACAUGCAAGUCGAACGGAAAGGCCCUGCUUUUGUGGGGUGCUCGAGUGGCGAACGGGUGAGUAACACGUGAGUAACCUGCCCUUGACUUUGGGAUAACUUCAGGAAACUGGGGCUAAUACCGGAUAGGAGCUCCUGCUGCAUGGUGGGGGUUGGAAAGUUUCGGCGGUUGGGGAUGGACUCGCGGCUUAUCAGCUUGUUGGUGGGGUAGUGGCUUACCAAGGCUUUGACGGGUAGCCGGCCUGAGAGGGUGACCGGCCACAUUGGGACUGAGAUACGGCCCAGACUCCUACGGGAGGCAGCAGUGGGGAAUAUUGCACAAUGGGCGGAAGCCUGAUGCAGCAACGCCGCGUGCGGGAUGACGGCCUUCGGGUUGUAAACCGCUUUCGCCUGUGACGAAGCGUGAGUGACGGUAAUGGGUAAAGAAGCACCGGCUAACUACGUGCCAGCAGCCGCGGUGAUACGUAGGGUGCGAGCGUUGUCCGGAUUUAUUGGGCGUAAAGGGCUCGUAGGUGGUUGAUCGCGUCGGAAGUGUAAUCUUGGGGCUUAACCCUGAGCGUGCUUUCGAUACGGGUUGACUUGAGGAAGGUAGGGGAGAAUGGAAUUCCUGGUGGAGCGGUGGAAUGCGCAGAUAUCAGGAGGAACACCAGUGGCGAAGGCGGUUCUCUGGGCCUUUCCUGACGCUGAGGAGCGAAAGCGUGGGGAGCGAACAGGCUUAGAUACCCUGGUAGUCCACGCUGUAAACGGUGGGUACUAGGUGUGGGGUCCAUUCCACGGGUUCCGUGCCGUAGCUAACGCUUUAAGUACCUCGCCUGGGAAGUACGGCCGCAAGGCUAAAACUCAAAGGAAUUGACGGGGCCCCGCACAAGCGGCGGAGCAUGCGGAUUAAUUCGAUGCAACGCGUAGAACCUUACCUGGGUUUGACAUGGAUCGGGAGUGCUCAGAGAUGGGUGUGCCUCUUUUGGGGUCGGUUCACAGGUGGUGCAUGCCUGUCGUCAGCUCGUGUCGUGAGAUGUUGGGUUAAGUCCCGCAACGAGCGCAACCCUUGUUCACUGUUGCCAGCACGUUAUGGUGGGGACUCAGUGGAGACCGCCGGGGUCAACUCGGAGGAAGGUGGGGAUGACGUCAAGUCAUCAUGCCCCUUAUGUCCAGGGCUUCACGCAUGCUACAAUGGCUGGUACAGAGAGUGGCGAGCCUGUGAGGGUGAGCGAAUCUCGGAAAGCCGGUCUCAGUUCGGAUUGGGGUCUGCAACUCGACCUCAUGAAGUUGGAGUCGCUAGUAAUCGCAGAUCAGCAACGCUGCGGUGAAUACGUUCCCGGG